rnacentral:rRNA from 1 species
CCUACGGGAGGCUGCAGUGAGGAAUAUUGGUCAAUGGACGAGAGUCUGAACCAGCCAAGUAGCGUGAAGGAUGACUGCCCUAUGGGUUGUAAACUUCUUUUAUAUGGGAAUAAAACGUUCCACGUGUGGGAUUUUGUAUGUACCAUAUGAAUAAGGAUCGGCUAACUCCGUGCCAGCAGCCGCGGUAAUACGGAGGAUCCGAGCGUUAUCCGGAUUUAUUGGGUUUAAAGGGAGCGUAGGUGGAUUGUUAAGUCAGUUGUGAAAGUUUGCGGCUCAACCGUAAAAUUGCAGUUGAAACUGGCAGUCUUGAGUACAGUAGAGGUGGGCGGAAUUCGUGGUGUAGCGGUGAAAUGCUUAGAUAUCACGAAGAACUCCGAUUGCGAAGGCAGUUCACUGGACUGCAACUGACACUGAGGCUCGAAAGUGUCGGUAUCAAACAGGAUUAGAUACCCGUGUAGUC